rnacentral:lncRNA from 1 species
CAGGGUGGGGCGUCGUGCUUUUGCUCUGCUUUGCUGCUUCUUCUUCUUUUCUUUUUUCUUUCUUUUUUUUUUUUUUAAUAGUGCUGGGGCUUGAACUCAAGGCCUUCACAUUCAGCUACAUCCCCAGCUCUUUUUUAUUUUGAGUCAGGGUUUCGCCUAAGUCACUGAGUUGCCCAGGCUGGGGUCUGACUUUUGGUCCUCCUGCCUCAGCCUCCCAGAGCGCUAGGAUUGCAGGCUUGCGCCACCUUUCCCAGCUUUCCUGAUAAUGCUGACAUCAAGGACACCAGUAGUGACAGGAAGUUCAAUGAACUCACCUAUUGCACAACUAUUAAACAAAGCUCACAGGCAGAUACGAAGCCUGGAGAGGCAAGGAUCAGUCCUCGCCUCAAGUGUGUGAACCCCACGCUGCCCCCACCUCCAGUUGGAGAAGGGUUUGACCAAGCAACAGGACGCUUGAUGAACUGCACAGGAAACAUUUGUAAACACAACUAUAAAAAUAAGGAACUCAUCAUCACAGAGGUUAUGUGACAGCACAGUGUGAAGGUCCAGGGUUCCAGCCCCAGGACCAGAAGAAAAAUUAAAAGUGUGAAACGCUUAAAACUAGCAAGAGAGAGAAAAGUACAAACCGGGAGGAUGAACCUCAGGGAUGAACCACAGUAACUUGGAACCAUGGCAAAGGAAGGCAAACGAAGAUCGUCCCUCAGUAUCUGUUCUCUUUUCCCCGCCCAUCACCACAGCCACAUUAGAUCUUAUCUACACAGUCCUCAGAACAAAGGCUGCAUCUCCAAACCUCCUUCAUAAUAUUUAUGACCUUAGAAUUACACUCUGGCCAGUGGGAUGUAAACUCGAGUGAUGCAUGUGGAGAGGGACUGUCCUUCAAAUUCAUCCUUACUGCUGUCUGGAAUUUGGAUGUGAUGGCUUUGCUCCAGCAGCCAUCUUACACCAUGCAGUACAAGAUGUAUGGCUAAAGAUGGUGGAGUAGCAAGAUUCUGUGUAAAGGAGCCUGGUCUUUGAUAUCAAGGGCACUGUGUGAACCCUGCAUGGCCACUCUUGGUCUCUCUUAUGUAAAAGAGAAAUAUAUUUCUGUUUAUGGUCUUUAAGCCAG